rnacentral:rRNA from 1 species
UGACGAGUGGCGGACGGGUGAGUAAUGUCUGGGAAACUGCCUGAUGGAGGGGGAUAACUACUGGAAACGGUAGCUAAUACCGCAUAAUGUCGCAAGACCAAAGAGGGGGACCUUCGGGCCUCUUGCCAUCGGAUGUGCCCAGAUGGGAUUAGCUAGUAGGUGGGGUAACGGCUCACCUAGGCGACGAUCCCUAGCUGGUCUGAGAGGAUGACCAGCCACACUGGAACUGAGACACGGUCCAGACUCCUACGGGAGGCAGCAGUGGGGAAUAUUGCACAAUGGGCGCAAGCCUGAUGCAGCCAUGCCGCGUGUAUGAAGAAGGCCUUCGGGUUGUAAAGUACUUUCAGCGGGGAGGAAGGCGUUGAGGUUAAUAACCUUGUCAAUUGACGUUACCCGCAGAAGAAGCACCGGCUAACUCCGUGCCAGCAGCCCG